rnacentral:rRNA from 1 species
AGAGUUUGAUCAUGGCUCAGAACGAACGCUGGCGGCAGGCCUAACACAUGCAAGUCGAACGCACCUUUCGGGGUGAGUGGCAGACGGGUGAGUAACACGUGGGAACGUGCCUUUCGGUUCGGGAUAACCCAGGGAAACUUGGGCUAAUACCGGAUACGCCCUUUGGGGGAAAGAUUUAUUGCCGAAAGAUCGGCCCGCGUCUGAUUAGCUAGUUGGUGGGGUAAUGGCCUACCAAGGCGACGAUCAGUAGCUGGUCUGAGAGGAUGAUCAGCCACACUGGGACUGAGACACGGCCCAGACUCCUACGGGAGGCAGCAGUGGGGAAUAUUGGACAAUGGGCGCAAGCCUGAUCCAGCCAUGCCGCGUGAGUGAUGAAGGCCCUAGGGUUGUAAAGCUCUUUCGGCGGGGACGAUAAUGACGGUACCCGCAGAAGAAGCCCCGGCUAACUUCGUGCCAGCAGCCGCGGUAAUACGAAGGGGGCUAGCGUUGUUCGGAAUCACUGGGCGUAAAGGGCGCGUAGGCGGCCAUUCAAGUCGGGGGUGAAAGCCUGUGGCUCAACCACAGAAUUGCCUUUCGAUACUGUUUGGCUUGAGACCGGAAGAGGUAAGUGGAACUGCGAGUGUAGAGGUGAAAUUCGUAGAUUUCGCAAGAACACCAGUGGCGAAGGCGGCUUACUGGUCCGGUUCUGACGCUGAGCGCGAAAGCGUGGGGAGCAAACAGGAUUAGAUACCCUAGUAGUCC